rnacentral:rRNA from 1 species
CCUACGGGUGGCAGCAGUGAGGAAUAUUGGUCAAUGGGCGCGAGCCUGAACCAGCCAAGUAGCGUGAAGGAUGACUGCCCUACGGGUUGUAAACUUCUUUUAUAAAGGAAUAAAGUGAGGCACGUGUGCCCUUUUGUAUGUACUUUAUUAAUAAGGAUAGGCUAACGCCGUGCCAGCAGACGCGGUAAUACGGAGGAUCCGAGCGUUAUCCGGAUUUAUUGGGGUUAAAGGGAGCGUAGAUGGGUUGUUAAGUCAGUUGUGAAAGUUUGCGGCUCAACCGUAAAAUUGCAAUUGAUACUGGCAGCCUUGAGUACAGUUGAGGUAGGCGGAAUUCGUGGUGUAGCGGUGAAAUGCUUAGAUAUCACGAAGAAUUCCGAUUGCGAAGGCAGCUUACUAAACUGCGACUGACAUUGAUGCUCGAAAGUGUGGGUAUCAAACAGGAUUAGAUACCCUUGUAGUC